UGAACUCCCGACCUCGUGAUCUGCCCGCCUUGGCCUCCCAAAGUGCUGGAAUUACAGGCAUAAGCCACCAUGCCCGGCCUUAUGGGGGCCUUUUUCCAAGCAUUUUCCUGGAGAAAUGCUGGUGGGAGGCGAAGACAUGAUUCUCUUGACUUGGACUUUGAAACUUUCUGCACAUAAUUGGCACACGGCGUCUCCCCUGCACAUAUAUCCUGAACACCUGUAGCAGGUCCUGUACUGGUUCUGGGAGGAUUGUCUACCUGGACGAAGAUGACACUUUACUACAGAGAGUCCCCACCGAGUGGGGGAGAGUACUCUACAUUGGCAAGACAGAAGUAACUGCAAAAUGAAGGUUCAAGUGUCAAGCUGUGGGAACAAAUGAAUUCUGCCAUUUAGGGGAGUAUGGUUGAUUUCUACCUUGAGCAAAUCAGUUGUCUGGGGUCAGAGGGUCCAGAAGCAAAGAAAGUAGAUGGAGAGGGGGAGUGUCCCUGCCUUUCAUUUUCUAUACUGGGGCUCUGAAUGAAAAGAGGUCCCCAGAGAGAGCUUAGCCACCUGGGUGGGCUCCUCGCUUGGCCCAGGGGUGAUGUCACAUCCCAGGCUGAGCUUAGAUCCUCAACCAAACAGCCACCUGUGCCUGAAAAGUCUUUACAGGAGGCCCCAAAUUUUAGCAGGGAAUGUUUGUUACCACCUGAAAUGCAGGCUUUCCUCAACCUGCUGGUCUAAAUAAACUGUACAGAUAGUUAACUCCUGUCAUAACACUACAAGGGACUCUCCAGCAAACUUAAUAGAUGAAAACAAUAGAAUAGGUGUGAAAAAGGAAUGAAAUCAGCACAUUUUAUCCAUUCCAAGAAGCAAUCCCCAACCCCCCCCAUCACCCACCCACUUUUCCCUCUGGUGAGUGGCUUCUUGUUACUGAUGAUUGAUAGGAUGACUCACUGUCAUUGUAUUCCUUAAAAGUCCAUGACAACAGCAGUGUCCAGUAUCAGAGGACCCAAAUGUAAUUUAAAAUACAGGCGCAGCAGCCUGCAAGUUGAACUUUCGUCCAGAAAUGACAACCAACAAAUGGUAUCUACUAAUAUUCCUCUGAAAUGGCUUUGGGUACAGGGAGGGGAGCCAAGCCGACCAGACAGGGUGAGUUUACUCAGAACCAGAGGACAGAAUAUUGACAGUAAUCCAGCUUGUUACCACUGCUAACCAACUGUCAAGAAUUCGGAAAUAAUCACUGUAGAAUUCACUUAACCUUCUUCAGAAAUUGGCCCUAACCGACCACCAGAUUCCCAGAGUCCUGCCUAUAUCCAAGGUGUGCUAUAAAUGUAAAUCAUAAAC